rnacentral:misc_RNA from 1 species
UCUCCGUUGGUGAACCAGCGGAGGGAUCAUUACCGAGUUUACAACUCCCAAACCCAAUGUGAACGUUACCAAACUGUUGCCUCGGCGGGAUCUCUGCCCCGGGUGCGUCGCAGCCCCGGACCAAGGCGCCCGCCGGAGGACCAACCAAACCUCUUAUUGUGUACCCCCUCGCGGGUUUUUUUUUAUAAUCUGAGCCUUCUCGACGCCUCUCGUAGGCGUUUCGAAAAUGAAUCAAAACUUUCAACAACGGAUCUCUUGGUUCUG